rnacentral:tRNA from 1 species
GGCUCGUUGGUCUAGGGGUAUGAUUCUCGCUUAGGGUGCGAGAGGUUCCUGGUUCAAAUCCCGGACGAGCCC